CCUUCUGUGUGGUUCCUGCAUGAUCCAGCUGAGGGGUGUUUCCGAGGCGCCGAUCCUGCAGAAAGUGUGCGCUGUGCGAGCUGCCCUGCAUGGCGCCCCUUGGUGUCACCUCCUCCAGCCACAGAGGAGUCAGACUGUGGAACUGAUGGAAGAGGGUCCUGCUGACAGACGCACCUGAACAUCAACAUGGGGAAGAUGUUUGUCCUGACGUCCUCAGAGGAGCUGAAAUAAUUGCUCACCUUGAUUCCAGUACUCCCAGAAUUCCCAGCAACUUUCUGCUGCUGACCACCAGAGUGGGCAUGGCCAGGGACUGCCUGGUCCUCCGGGUAGUGAUUGCGGUCCGGAACAUCUCCACGAGGAGGAUGAGGCUGGUUCUCCCAAAGAAGCUCCGCCUCAAUAUCUGUAACAAGGUCAUCCUCCACUGGUGGGAGAGGAGCAGGGAUGGUAGAAGGGGGCGGGGGCGUGUCUUCUUCCACGCUCAGGUCGCGGGGGUCGCAUCUGCCUGAUGGGACAGCAGGACCACUUUGAGCGGGGACCCAUCCAGACCAAACCUGAUGGCGGAUGUGUGGCUGCUGUGAGUUGUGUCACCUCCUCUCGGGUCGAUGAUCUCCACGUUGGCUGAGGUCCUCCGUCCCAGGACUGAAUUCUUUGGAUUCUUCAGAGUGACCGUGAAAGUCUCAUGAUUCUCCUCCAGUCCGUCGUCUUUCAGUAAUCCAACCUGGGUCAAACUGGAUGAGUCCGGCUGUACUGUGUGUGAAAUCCAGGCCAAGUUUGGCGGUCCCGUCCUCCACCUGCGAGAAUGCAGUGUCACUUCUAUGGUCCGGUAGCAGGUGGCCGACAGCUGGACUAUGGACCAGGACAGCUCCAGUCUGCAGAAGACAUUCAGUCAUAUGACCAGUCUCUCUGAAUCAUCCGCUGUUCAGUUCCCAGAUUUGGCGACAAACUAACGUUUCAGGCAGCGCCGUGUUGCCGGCUGGGUCGCUGAGGUGGAACUGGAAGCUGUCAGCCGUCACCUCCAUGUCGGCGGGAAGGACAAAGACCACCGAGCGGCGCUCCACGUCUCGCUGCGUGAAGCGACCUUUGAUGUAGCCAAAGUGUGGCGGUCUGAUGACAGAAAACUGCAGCUCAUCCACCGGACUGUCGGCGUCGGCCGCUUGCAAAUGUCUGGAGGUGAUGAAGAUGACCAGACGCCCGUCGCUCAGCUCCACCACCUCGCUGGGGGUUCCCUUGAUGGUCAGAGUUGGGGGCAACCUGUCCACCUGCUCCACCUGAGAGGACACAGGUCACCGAGACCUUAUAUCAGAGGCCUGAAGACGAGCACUCCUCCCCCUUGCACCUUGGGGUAAGACUCUUGCUGUGUACCUUGUUCUGUUUAGUGUGUAUGCAGUACUGUGUUGUGUGUAUGUAAUAUUGGACUCACUUUAUGGAUGUGAUCAUUAAUUUACCCGACAAUAUUUCCAUCCAUUUUCUAUACCGCUUCUCCUCAUUAGGGUCACGGGGGCUUGCUGGAGCCUAUCCCAGCUGACUUCGGGCGACAGGCGGGGUACACCCUGGACUGGUCGCCAGCCAAUCGCAGGGCACAUAUAGACAAACAACCAUUCACACUCACAUUCAUACCUAUGGACAAUUUAGAGUCUCCAAUUAACCUAACAUGCAUGUUUUUGGAAUGUGGGAGAAAGCCGGAGUACCCGGAGAAAACCCACGCGCACACGGGGAGAACAUGCAAACUCCACACCCCGACAAUGUUUAUUCAAGUAAAAAUGCUCCUCAGCUCUCAUGAAAAAUGAGGGCGAUGGUGUAGGUCCUCUUGCGGUUCUGCACUGCUGCCACUGGAUGUCGCUGCUCACUCCUGUUUGCAAUCAAGUUUGUUCAAUGUUUUUUUUUAACAGUAUUGUAUUUUUAAAGACUAUAUGACUGAUGACAAAUGUAUUUUUAAGUUUUUUUAGCUCAAGCAACGUCACAGCAGCCAGUAGUAGAGCUCAAUGCUCACCUGUAUGACGAAGGCAACAGGCUCCUCCCUCAGCUGUCCAAACUCCAGGAAACCUCGGUUGUUUCCGUCAGAGGGCAGGAAGUAGAACCUGUCCAUCUCUGCCGGGCUGCCCAGGCUGUGCCGGUAAGCCAGGUGGCGCUGGUCCACGUCCUUCUGGGUGAACGUCAGUGGGGGGGUCAGCGGAACCCCCUUGAGCAGGAGGCGGCCAUAGCGUGGCGGCUGAGUGACCAAGAAGCUCAGGUUGGCAGCGGCCGUGUCGGGGUCGCUGACCUGGAGCUGGUCAGCCGUGAUGGUCUCUGUGGCGCCGUCCUGCAGGCCCAGACCCGUAUUUCGUUCCAGCGUGGGCGGGAUGCGAUCGCCGAGCUCAAUGUGGAACUGCAGACUUCCAGCGCGUGACGAGUGGCCGUUGGUGAUGACGAAACUGUCGUGACAAACAUCAUCUUUAUAGUUAGAACCUACCGAGAUCUUUGGUUUAUGUUUGUGCUCAUCAGUGUAACGUUAGUCAUGCUAGUCAGCAUACUAAUAGGCGUAAUAAUAGCUAUGCUAGAUGCUAAUAAACAAAGUAAGGUAAAAUUGCUGUUGUUGUUCUUUGUGAACAUGCUUUAAACUUUAAACCUUAAAUCAGGGGUGUCCAAAGUGUGGCCCAGGGGCCAUUUUUGGCCCACAGCUCAUUUGUUAUUGACCCUUAUAAAAAAAAAAACAAGC